rnacentral:rRNA from 1 species
UACGAAGGGGGCUAGCGUUGCUCGGAAUCACUGGGCGUAAAGCGCACGUAGGCGGAUUGCUAAGUCAGGGGUGAAAUCCUGGAGCUCAACUCCAGAACUGCCUUUGAUACUGGCGACCUUGAGUCCGGGAGAGGUGAGUGGAACUGCGAGUGUAGAGGUGAAAUUCGUAGAUAUUCGCAAGAACACCAGUGGCGAAGGCGGCUCACUGGACCGGCAUUGACGCUGAGGUGCGAAAGCGUGGGGAGCAAACAGG